CAGAACAUAGCUAAACCAGUAAAGCAUCUCCCUUACACCGAGAAGUUGUCUAUGCAAAUUAGACUGUUCUGA
rnacentral:tRNA from 1 species